GAUGAACGCUGGCGGCGUGCCUAAUACAUGCAAGUCGAGCGAACAGACGAGGAGCUUGCUCCUCUGACGUUAGCGGCGGACGGGUGAGUAACACGUGGAUAACCUACCUAUAAGACUGGGAUAACUUCGGGAAACCGGAGCUAAUACCGGAUAAUAUAUUGAACCGCAUGGUUCAAUAGUGAAAGACGGUUUUGCUGUCACUUAUAGAUGGAUCCGCGCCGCAUUAGCUAGUUGGUAAGGUAACGGCUUACCAAGGCAACGAUGCGUAGCCGACCUGAGAGGGUGAGCGGCCACACUGGAACUGAGACACGGUCCAGACUCCUACGGGAGGCAGCAGUAGGGAAUCUGCCGCAAGGGGCGAAAGCCUGACGGAGCAACGCCGCGUGAGUGAUGAAGGUCUUCGGAUCGUAAAACUCUGUUAUUAGGGAAGAACAAAUGUGUAAGUAACUAUGCACGUCUUGACGGUACCUAAUCAGAAAGCCACGGCUAACUACG
rnacentral:rRNA from 1 species